rnacentral:rRNA from 1 species
GUGGGGAAUAUUGGACAAUGGGCGAAAGCCUGAUCCAGCCAUGCCGCGUGUGUGAAGAAGGUCUUCGGAUUGUAAAGCACUUUAAGUUGGGAGGAAGGGCAGUAAAUUAAUACCUUGCUGUUUUGACGUUACCGACAGAAUAAGCACCGGCUAACUUCGUGCCAGCAGCCGCGGUAAUACGAAGGGUGCAAGCGUUAAUCGGAAUUACUGGGCGUAAAGCGCGCGUAGGUGGUUUUGUAAGUUGGAGGUGAAAUCCCCGGGCUCAACCUGGGAACUGCCUCCAAAACUGCAUGACUAGAGUACGGUAGAGGGUAGUGGAAUUUCCUGUGUAGCGGUGAAAUGCGUAGAUAUAGGAAGGAACACCAGUGGCGAAGGCGACUACCUGGACUGAUACUGACACUGAGGUGCGAAAGCGUGGGGAGCAAACAGGAUUAGAAACCCGAGUAGUCC